AUCUGAGAGAGACAGACAACGAGAGACAGACCAAGACAGAAGCUACAACAUCUUUUACAACAAUCUUGGAAGUGAAAUACAAUUACUUUUGUACCCUGGUAAAAUUUGAGAAAGCAUUCCACAGGGGUAUGAAUUCCAGCAGAAAUCACUGGAGGCCAUCUUGGAGGCUGCCAAUCACAUUUCAGGGAACUGCUGGCUCAGUGUUCGGUUUUCAUUCCACGAAUCCAUGACUCACGAAUCAAUGACCUGGAUAAAUGUACACUGAGGAUCUCAGUUGCAGUUGGCAAUUACCCUCCCUUUUGAUGGCACUUAUUCUAUUCUGCCUCUGGAAAUUCCAUUACCACUUGAAGGUGUUUGCUGUGUUCUGCAAAUGGAGAAAAGAGAGAUGCAUGCUGAAAUAGUUUAGAUAUGAAAUGUCAUGAGACCUGCAACUUUCAAGUGGUUCCAGAAAAAAGUAAAUACACAUGGGAGACAGUAAAAGAGAGGGAAACAGACAUGGCACGAUGUGAAUCGGUGAAUCAGGGUGAAAGGAGUGUUCGUUGACUUAUUCUCUGAAUUUAUCUUAGGUUUUUAAAUUUUUCCAAAUAAAAAGUUGUAUGUAGCAGGGGUCAGGAGACAAGAAAAGUCUAUUUGAAGGAAACUACUAUAGAAAUCCAGAACAGGCCGGGCGCGGUGGCUCAAGCCUGUAAUCCCAG